GACGUAGGGCGCGAGCGUUGUCCGGAUUUAUUGGGCGUAAAGAGCGUGUAGGCGGUCAGGUAGGUCGGUUGUGAAAACUGGAGGCUCAACCUUCAGAGGUCGACCGAAACCCCCUGGCUAGAGUCCGGGAGAGGAGAGUGGAAUUCCUGGUGUAGCGGUGAAAUGCGCAGAUAUCAGGAAGAACACCCGUGGCGAAAGCGGCUCUCUGGAACGGUACUGACGCUGAGACGCGAAAGCGUGGGGAGCGAACAGG
rnacentral:rRNA from 1 species